CGAGACUUGAAGCAAGGAGGUUGUGUAGAUUCUCCUGGGAUAGUAGUGAUGAAAUUAAUAGGAAACUGUAUUAUGGUGUAUUGAAAUUUUAUGAAGGAUGGGAUAUUAUGUUAGAUUCUUAAGUUAUCAAAGCAAGGCAGAGUUUCAAGCAGUACCAAGGGGACGCAGCUAGCUUUGGGCAGAUUUUGAGCAAGAUGGAGACCAACACCAUCCGGAGCAAAAUGGUACAGCAACGUGGGACUCAAAAUGGCGCACAACUACAUGGGGCGUCAACAACACUAAAAACCGAUACACAGCAAAUUGACGCAGCCAACGAGGGGCAGAUACGCAGCAAAUUGACGCAACUACGUGGGGCAGAUACGCAGCAAAAUGUGAUGACUUUGACACCAAAUUGUCAAAGUUGACAAGACAUGGGUUGCCUAUGUACUAUCGGAAUCAAAGUAGUAAUCUAAGGAUUAGUGACAUUCCAAUGUUAUCCAUAAAAAUGAAGUAGAAAUAAAUAAUUUAAACCCAGUAAAUCAUGUGUAGUGUACAUUGAGGGGCAGGAAGGAAGUCUUCUUGUUGGAAUCUUUUGCCUCAUGUGACUUAGUAAAUUCAGUCAAUUACAACUCAUUGUGAUACCUUAAAAUAACGAUUGUAAAACCCAAAAGAGCACAACAUAUGAUGUAACAAGGGAAUUGCUUUGUUCUAUGACAAUCAUUGGCCAUGCAUACUGGCUCAUCAAAGACAAUAUCUCAUUUUCAAUUUGGAUCGGGACAACUUUAUCAUUCUCCGUACUGUUCCAUCCUAGCACCCAAUGAACAUAACAUUGGCACUUUGAAAGAUAACCGAAUCAAGCAACAUUGAAUGUGGCUGUUGUUUAUAUGGGUGAUCACUGAACGAUCCUGUUGGAAAUUACGUAAAAAAGUUACAAGUAAAAAUUAAAUAUUUCAGAAAUGUAUAACUCUAGCUUUAAAACAUUGAAACUAUUAGGCAUAUGUGGCAGGUAUCUUAACUAUCAUUUAAAUUUCCUGGUUCAUACAGUGAUGAAACAUUGGUAACACAAUUAAAGCAACUAAGAUCUUGGAAUAUUUCAACAUUGUUGUGGAGACCAUCUUCAGUCAUAGUCCAAGCAGGAGCCUAAAGCCAAUGUGCGUUGUAUUGGCAUACAAUCUGGGUUUUCUUUAAAAUCAAUAGAGAAAAUUCCAUUAAGAAAGUUAUAGAUCAUCAGUUGCUCUAGUUUCGGUGGAGGUUGAAUGGGAGAGUAAUCAAAAGGGUUAAAAAUAAUAAACAAUAAUUUUUCUGAUAUUUUUCUUAGCUUUGAACACUUAAACACAACCGUUACUACAUAUAUGUGUGUGUGUGUGUGUGUGUGUGUGUAAUCAGUGUGAACUAACUGUAUACAGAUAUUCAAUACCCUCCAAUUUUUACUUACACCGGUACUACCACGGCUGACUUAGGAGAAAUUCCUCUAUUGAUUUCAAGAAACCAAAGUUGUGUGCUUAUAAAAUGAAAAUUUUCUUUCUGACCCCAAAUUAUAUGAACAAAUUUAAAACCAGAAGUUUAGUUUAGUUUUUGUGUUAACAAUGUUUUAACAUGGUAUGAACUAGAAAACUUAUACAAUUGUGUUUUUAAAAUUAAAAAAAACUGUACUUAUUAAAAACACACACACACACAUAUUAGUGUUUAAUUGUUUGAUUAGCAACAUCUGAACAAGAAAUCUUAAUUCAUUUUCAUCAAGAAAAGAAUAAGUUUCAGAUAAUUAGAAUAUGGUCAUGAAGUUUACAUGAUUUUUACAAUGAUAAGAAAACUUAAAUUGGUUAAAAUACAUUUCUUUAAAGGUAUGUAAAAUUUUCUUUUCAAGUUAAGUAAGUGAAUAUUUAGUAUUUCUGAUGCAAUCAGUACUUGGUUUAUAAGUGGAAGAAAGUUAUAACUUGCUAUUGCACAUGUAAUAAACAUUAAUAAAAAGAUUUUUUAAUUAGGUAAAA